AUGCCACGGCCUGGAACCAAAUUGCCGAGCACGGCACGGCUUGCCUGCCCUUCUGACGCUGCUUGUCACUCUGGUGCCCGUCUUCUGCUUCGUUCUUGCUCCGGAUCGGCCAAUUGCGGCGGGCCUGCUAUGACGGUGGUCAUGGGUCGGCGCCGGUGCGCUCACUGGAUGCUGCUGCUCUUCUGUUGCCUCCUCCUCACGUCCCCCUCACAUGGUCAUCGUCACAAUCGACCCGCUGACGCGUUUGUCGGGGGAUACGGGAUAAACUACGGGAGAAUAGCGAACAACCUCCCGUCUCCGGACAAGGUGGUGGAGCUCCUCAGGAGGUCCAAGAUAAGGAAUGUCAAGAUAUAUAAUGAAGAUCACACUGUGCUCGACGCGUUCAAAGGGACAGGGCUCAACCUGGUCAUUGCUGUCCACAAUGGGUUGCUGAAUGCUUUUGCUGCAAAUGAGAGCGUCGCGAUUGACUGGCUGAAUGAGAACGUGCAGCCUUACAUUUCUCAGACACGCAUUGUUGGAAUCACUGUGGGGAAUGAGGUGCUGGGAGGCGAUCCGAGCUUGGCCGCUCCGCUCGUUGGAGCUGUUAAGAAUAUGUACGAUGGUCUCAAGAAACUGCAUCUGGAUGACAAAAUUGAGCUUUUCACACCUCACUCUGAAGCUGUUUUCGCUACUUCCUAUCCGCCCUCUGCAUGUGUUUUCAAGGAAGAAAUCAUGGUGUAUAUGAAACCGCUGCUGGACUUGUUUUCACGGAUCGGCUCACCUUUCUAUGUCAAUGCAUAUCCCUUUUUGGCGUACUUAACUGAUCCGGGGCAGAUCGACAUUAAUUAUGCUCUCUUUCAGCCCAACCCUGGAGUAGUUGAUCCGAAUACUAGUCUGCACUAUGACAACAUGUUUGAUGCUCAGAUAGAUGCAGCUUACGCUGCUCUGCAGGCUGCUGGUUAUAAUGACAUGGAAGUCCGGGUGGCAGAGACUGGCUGGGCUUCUAGUGGAGAUCAAAAUCAAGCAGGACCAUCAGUUGAGAAUGCAAGGACUUACAAUUACAACCUCCGUAAGAGGCUCUUUUUGAGGAAGGGAACUCCUCUCAAGCCAAAGAUACCAGUCAAAGCAUACAUCUUUGCCUUGUUUAAUGAGAACUUGAAGAAUGGAGAUCCUACUGAGAAGCACUAUGGGCUCUUCAAUCCAGAUGGAAGGAUUUCAUAUGAUAUCGGUUACUCAGGUCUAUUACCUUCAUCAGCACCCGCAUCCUUGCUGUCAAUUAAGGAGAUGCGAGCCUGGGGUUGGAUUGCACACUAUUCGGCUGCGGUUAUCCUAGCUAUUUUCUUGUCUUAG
rnacentral:rRNA from 1 species